UGAGGGGUGUCCGCAGCAAACGGUCGGGGGGUUCUGCAAAGCUGCGGCCGCGCCGGUGGCUGCCUCGCCUCUGGGUUCGCUCCUCGGCCGCAGAGGAAGGAGAUGUGAUGAGGAAGGACCUGGUUCUGCACCGCCACAGGCUCUUCGGAAGGUGUCGCUUGCGAAAGGUGUCAGCGCUUUCCGGAGCGUGUACUGGGGAGAGGAGAAAGGCUGCCGUGCGAUGGGGCCCCCGGCGGAACUGCCCCAGGCUCCUGUGGGAGGACUUUGCUGAUGCUCCUCCAACCCAGGAGUAACGCGAUGCCACAGCUAAUGGCAGUCACGAGACAGAAACCACGGUGGUGUUGGAAUGGAGGUAAAAGAUUUCUCUGCAGUUCCAUCCAGGGCAGAAAAAAAAACAACAAAACAGCGUUGUGACAAGAGGAAGUGCAACUGAACCCUCAGUGCCUGUCGAUGUGUUCCAGAGGACUCCCAAGCCCAAACAUGACAGAUCCCUGCUGGACAUGCAGCUCUGACAAUAUUUUGCCUUGCCACCUUUGUGGAUUGAUUGUGCCCAUGUAGCAAGAUCCCUUCCCCUGACACAAGAUUUGUUAACUGGAGCCAAUAGGCACCCAGCUGCAGGGAGAAGAUCAUCUUCAUCACCCUUAAGCACCAGGAAAGGAAUUUCCAGAUGGAAUUAGCCAGGCCUCCACCCCUACAGUCCGAGCAGUUGCUGACUAUCAUUAAUUAUUCCAUCAAAUGGAGCAUUCACCACCCUCCUGCUCUGCUGUCCUUCAGAAAAACCCCGAGCCAGUUCCAGAACUCACAGGAAAGAUUGAAACAGCUUUAAAUCAGCUGUACCUUCA